UACGUAGGGGGCAAGCGUUAUCCGGAAUCAUUGGGCGUAAAGCGCGUGUAGGCGGUUCCGUAAGUCCGCUCUGAAAGCCCAGGGCUCAACCCUGGGAGGCGGGUGGAUACUACGGAACUGGAGUACGGAAGAGGAGAUUGGAAUUCCUGGUGUAGCGGUGAAAUGCGCAGAUAUCAGGAGGAACACCAACAGCGAAGGCAGAUCUCUGGGACGUUACUGACGCUGAGACGCGAAAGCUGGGGGAGCAAACAGG
rnacentral:rRNA from 1 species